rnacentral:rRNA from 1 species
UACGUAGGGUGCAAGCGUUGUCCGGAAUUAUUGGGCGUAAAGAGCUCGUAGGCGGUUUGUUGCGUCGGCUGUGGAAAUCCCGAGGCUCAACCUCGGGUCUGCAGUCGAUACGAGCAAACUAGAGUGUUGCAGGGGAGACUGGAAUUCCUGGUGUAGCGGUGAAAUGCGCAGAUAUCAGGAGGAACACCGGUGGCGAAGGCGGGUCUCUGGGCAACAACUGACGCUGGAGGAGCGAAAGCCGUGGGGAGCGAACAGG